GAUUAACGCUAGCGGCAGGCCUAAUACAUGCAAGUUGUACGGGAUUAUUGGUAGCAAUACUGAUAUGAGAGUAGCGCACGGGUGCGUAACACGUAUGCAACCUACCUUUAACUGGGGAAUAGCCUUCCGAAAGGAAGAUUAAUACCGCAUAACAUUGCGAAACGACAUCGUUUUGCAAUUAAACCUACGGGGGUUAGAGAUGGGCAUGCGUCCGAUUAGCUAGUUGGCGGGGUAANAG
rnacentral:rRNA from 1 species